GUUGCUUCUUACUGGUGAACUCUCUCAGAUUCAGAAUUGGGGAUGUUCUUGUUUCAGAAGCAUAGAUGAAUUAGAGAAUAUCUUUGCCAGUAUUAAACAGCAUGGUGUGUUCUUUCAUGUUGCACUAUGUUACCUGUCUCCUGGUAUAUUC